rnacentral:rRNA from 1 species
GAUGAACGCUGGCGGCGUGCCUAACACAUGCAAGUCGAGCGAUUCUCUUCGGAGAAGAGCGGCGGACGGGUGAGUAACGCGUGGGUAACCUGCCCUGUACACACGGAUAACAUACCGAAAGGUAUGCUAAUACAGGAUAACGUAAGAAAGUCGCAUGGCUUUCUUAUCAAAGCUCCGGCGGUACAGGAUGGACCCGCGUCUGAUUAGCUAGUUGGUGAGGUAAUGGCUCACCAAGGCGACGAUCAGUAGCCGACCUGAGAGGGUGAUCGGCCACAUUGGAACUGAGACACGGUCCAAACUCCUACGGGAGGCAGCAGUGGGGAAUAUUGCACAAUGGGCGAAAGCCUGAUGCAGCAACGCCGCGUGAGCGAUGAAGGCCUUCGGGUCGUAAAGCUCUGUCCUCAAGGAAGAUAAUGACGGUACUUGAGGAGGAAGCCCCGGCUAACUACGUGCCAGCCGCCGCGGUAA